GGAGGCAGCAGUAGGGAAUCUUCCACAAUGGACGCAAGUCUGAUGGAGCAACGCCGCGUGAGUGAAGAAGGCUUUCGGGUCGUAAAACUCUGUUGUUGGAGAAGAAUGGUCGGCAGAGAACUGGUUGUCGGGGGGCCGGUUUCCAACCGAAAAGCCACGGCAAACUACGGGCCACCAGCCGCGGUAA
rnacentral:rRNA from 1 species